rnacentral:rRNA from 1 species
CCUACGGGAGGCAGCAGUGGGGAAUAUUGGACAAUGGGCGAAAGCCUGAUCCAGCAAUGCCGCGUGUGUGAAGAAGGCCUUCGGGUUGUAAAGCACUUUAAGUUGGGAAGAAAAAGCUCUGGCUAAUAUCUAGAGCCUUGACGGUACCAACAGAAUAAGCACCGGCUAACUCUGUGCCAGCAGCCGCGGUAAUACAGAGGGUGCUAGCGUUAAUCGGAUUUACUGGGCGUAAAGCGUGCGUAGGCGGUUUGAUAAGUCGAUUGUGAAAGCCCCGGGCUUAACCUGGGAAUUGCAGUUGAUACUGUCAGACUAGAAAACGGUAGAGGGAGGCGGAACUCCAGGUGUAGCGGUGAAAUGCGUAGAUAUCUGGAAGAACACCGAUGGCGAAGGCAACCUCCUGGGCCUGUUUUGACGCUGAAAGCACGAAAGCGUGGGUAGCAAACAGGAUUAGAUACCCUGGUAGUCCACGACCGUAACGANAGAGACUAGUACGUUAGUUGUCUAGUCAAUACGUGUCGUAGUACUACGACGAGUAGUUACGUCCGCCGUCGGGGAGGUACGGGCCGGCCGAAGGUUAGGUAAACGUUACGUUAAAGUAAGUUAAGUUAGUACGGCGUUGGAGGACGUUGCCGACGGACGACCGAACCGAGGGGAGGUUAGG